GCUAGACGUUGGAAAUUUAAUUUUCAGUGUCGCAGCAAAAGCAUUAAGCACACCGCCUGGGGAGUACGACCGCAAGGUUAAAACUCAAAUGAAUUGACGGGGACCCGCACAAGUAGUGGAGCAUGUGGUUUAAUUCGAAGAUACGCGCAGAACCUUACCAACACUUGACAUGUUCGUCGCGACUCUAAGAGAUUAGAGUUUUCGGUUCGGCCGGACGAAACACAGGUGCUGCAUGGCUGUCGUCAGCUCGUGUCGUGAGAUGUUGGGUUAAGUCCCGCAACGAGCGCAACCCUUACUUUUAGUUGCUACCAUUAAGUUGGGCACUCUAAAAGAACUGCCAGUGAUAAGCUGGAGGAAGGCGGGGAUGACGUCAAGUCCUCAUGGCCCUUACGUGUUGGGCUACACACGUGCUACAAUGGUAUCUACAACAGGAAGCAAGACGGCGACGUUAAGCAAAUCCCUAAAAGAUACCUCAGUUCGGAUUGCACUCUGCAACUCGAGUGCAUGAAGCUGGAAUUACUAGUAAUCGUGGAUCAGCGUGCCACGGUGAAUGCGUUCCCGGGUCUUGUACACACCGCCCGUCACACCAUGGGAGUUGGUUCUACCUUAAGGCAAGGUUUUAAACCCUUGACCACGGUAUAGUCAGCGACUGGGGUGAAGUCGUAACAAGGUAGCCGUAGGGGAACCUGCGGCUGGAUCACCUCCUUU
rnacentral:rRNA from 1 species